UGGCCUCUGGUCGAGCAGGCUUCAAAGCCGGAGGGGGGUUGAGUGGCACCGGAAGGUU
rnacentral:tRNA from 12 species